rnacentral:lncRNA from 1 species
AGAGAAAGAAAGAGGAGAAAAAUCACGGAGAUCACUACUAGACAGGUAAGGGGUUUGUACAACUCACUUAGGAAAGUAUGAAUUCAUAGCUUUAUGGUUAUAACUUUUGUUUCUUUUCCUUCCUUUCCUUGUUGUUACGUGAGUUGUUGUUGUGUAUGUUAUGUAGAAUUUGAAUUCUUAUACUUGCUAUAUUGUUGAUUAUGUGUGUUGUUCUGUGACUGAAAUUCGUCUGUUGUU